rnacentral:sRNA from 4 species
UUUAAGUAUCGCGUGAUCUGUAACCGUUGCCGGGGCAGCGACGAGCGCGCCUAAGAUCUGAUCCUCCCAAGACUUGACCGCGAAUUUGGCAAGAAUU